CUCAGAUGUGUUAUAUUCUGAUACAUAGAAUAAGACUAUAUGCAGGGCUAGCUUCUACCUGCUGCCUGUGAGGUUUAAUUUUAGACUAUAUAUAAAUCAUGCUUGGGGAACCCCAUUGCUUGGAUUUUAAAUCAAAAUAUUUACUAUGAUCAAUGCUUUUCUAUUAUUACAUUUGCUGAUUUGCUUAAUCGUAAGAUCAAAUUCUGUUUUAGUUAUUUUUGUUAUUACCCACCGGCGCCGGUGGAAGUGGCAGUAGCCGUGGCCUCACCGUUGAUCAAACGCUGUUGUGUUUGGGUGAGGCCAUCCAAGUAACUGUGUUGGGGAAAACGCGGUGUCGGCAUUUUUUACCCGCUGGUGAAGGGAUAUGGUUUCCCACUAAAACGAUACCGUUUGAAGCUCGGAAGUGAGCAAACUAUCUCCCGCUCCACUCCCAGAGAUCUUUCCUCUCCACCCAAUUUUUCCCUCGAUUUCUCUUUCGUAUUUUCCCACAGUUUUUCUCGGAGACCAAACUGAACUCGAGAAACUCAAGAGUUUCCACUCUGUUAUCAUGAGCUUGCUCAUAAACCACUGUGUUAGCUGUUGAAUAAAUAACCACAGAACCAUUGACGGCGAGUUAAUCUUAUCGUUUUCUCUUUUCAAUUCCAUUUUGGCUGGAAUAAUCGACUCUGUCAAUUUCGCUUCUACACUCAAAAUGAGUAAUGUCUUCCACAAAUGCGAAUCUUCGCGGCGAUAUUGAAUCGUUCUCGAAGAUUGAUAGCGACGACAGCUAUCGAAUUAAGACGAUAGCAAGUUCCCUUGCAGGAGCUGCAGUUGUGUUUUCUUUGAUUCUGGAAGAAGCUGCUUCUGUCCAUACUUUGGCUGAUGGAAGCAUUGGUUUCUGGUUCCAGGCUUCUGUAUUCAGCGGGACAACAGGCUAAUGAAGCUGUUCAGGACCAGUUAUCAGCCCUUACUUUCACCAAGUUUGUCCUGACAUUGCUUCUAUCUAUUUUCCAUCUGUUUCUUAAAAAGAUCCACUGCGUUUAUCCAUAUUUUUUUUGGUUAGCUGCUUAUUAUUACAGUUUUUAGCAAGUUAUUUUUGGGGCAGGGCUCGUGACUGGCCUUUCACAUGUACACUGAGUGUUCUACCAUUGACCUUGAUUACAUUGGAACAGGAGAGCAUAUGGCUCUGGGAAGGCAGGGUUCAUUUUCUUUUUCUUUUUGAAGUCCUUGUUACUCAGAGUCACUUUUGUUCUGAUUAUUGCAUAUUCUAUUGGAUUGUUUAUGGCACUAGCUCGUAUUGGCAUGGCAGUCUCAUUUGCUGGGAAGGCAUAUGGACAGAUAGGGCAACGACUACCUUUGAUUGCUUCUGGUUUGGCCAUUAUUAGGAUCUAAAUCUCCUUGAGACACCAAUAUAUUUUCCCUAUUUCUUAUUUGCAAGUUUUGGCUAUUUGUUUGGCUGUUCUGUGCACUUGAUGUGGCCUUUUUUUAAGACAGUUGCCAAAAUAUACUUCAUUUGAAUAACAUAUUUGUGAUUUAGUUCUCCUUUUCUUUCUCUUUUUUGGUAUUCUCAUUCUGGGGAAGUACUGCAGAUAAUUGAAUUGCAACUCCUUUCACUUUUUUAUUAUUUCGAUCCCUCUGCUGCUGCUGUCAGUUUUCCGCCAAGUAACUGGCCAUUUCAGAUUUUACCUAAUCCUUUGGAUAGUUAUUAUAUGGGAUCUAGUUCUCUUGAAAGUUUUAAUGAUGAAAAGUAUAGCAAUUUUAGACGUGCAAGCAUAUUUAGCUGGGCUUACUUUUAAAACAACAAAUAGCGUAGUCAUUACUAUAGUGUGUUAAGCAAGUCCGAUUAAUCUAUUGCCUUGCUUCAAUUUUCUUUUUAAUCAUUUCAAAAUUUAACCUUGUAAGACGUUUGCAGAGCCUGCUGUCAUUUCACGAGCAUGGAUCAAUUCAAUGAGUGGUGCACUUCUUCUAUGAGGGGGCGUAUGUAGUUUCUUUGGAAGGCUCUUCCCGGCCGCAUUGGCGAUGUAAAUAUUCCAACAUGUUUUGCAGGUUUCACUUCAAAAUGUACAUUGAAAAUAAUAAUGGGUAUAAAGUAGUAUAAGAUCACUGCUGGAAUUCUUCCCCGUUCCACACUAGGUUACACCUUGGCACAACUCGGCACUUUGUAGGUUUCUCGCAAUAAUACUACUAUAAAUGUUGCGGCACUGGCAACUCAUGGCAGAAAGUAUUCAUUACCAUAGCGGAGGGAGCUUGCUCUUCCUUCAGUAAGAAAGAGAAAUUUCUCUCAUCUUUUUCCUGUUAGGAGUUUAGCCCUUUUUUGAGUGCCAUUUUUUGUCGGACUCUCCUGCCCAUCGGGCAAGGGAGGCCUCUCUCCGCUGUCCCUGCAUGGUUUCCCUCUCUCUACCGGGUGUUGUUGUGAAUAUUUUUGUUUUGAUGGUGGAUGCAGCAGAUACAGUCUGUUAGGGUUCUAGGAUUCUUUGGGUUGCUCAGUUUUGGCUCUUUAGCCGAGUUUGCCGGGUCCUUUUCUUUUCCUUUUUCUUUUUUUGUGUGUUGGCUUUCUCUUGUAUUUUUACAGGUUUUAGAGGUGAGAUGACAACUCAGACACAGUCGAUCCCUUCGGAUCGAGAUGUGUCAAAUGGCUCUCCUCAACCUCUUUCCUUCACGGAUCUGAGCCUGUUCUUUUUGGUGCUGAGAGCCAAAUCUCUGUACUCCAUGUCUAGUUUCUGUUCUGAGUGGAGACUUUCCAGCGGGACCUCGCAGAGAUCAAGGAAUCUCAGAUGGCGCGAGUGAUGGUGAUCUGAUGCUGUGACGGAUUUUUCUACUGCCGGCAAUGUCUGUUGGUGCCGCGAAGAGUUUAUGGGAUGAGUUUCAGCUUGACUCUUACUUUUUCGGAUUCCCUUUUGGGUCCCAACUUGCUUAGACUUAGGGUUAAGUUUAUCUAUUUUUGGGGCUUUUUGCAAAAUUAGGGGUGAGAGAAGAUUUAUUUGUGGAUUUAAGGUUGAAGAAAAAUUAUUUGCAGAUUUAGAGUUGGACUGUUAUGUGGCAGCCGAAAAGAGAGUCUGGUGUGCGCCAGAGCCUGGUGCCAUUUAGAAUGGCGCCAGACAUUUUUUUUUUAUAAGAAUGGCUUGGCGGCGCGCUAUUUUUUUUUU